rnacentral:rRNA from 1 species
UACGGGGGGGGGCAAGCGUUGUUCGGAAUUACUGGGCGUAAAGGGCGCGUAGGCGGCCAACUAAGUCGGAUGUGAAAUCCCCAGGCUCAACUUGGGAACUGCAUCCGAUACUGGUCGGCUUGAAUCCGGGAGAGGGAUGCAGAAUUCCAGGUGUAGCGGUGAAAUGCGUAGAUAUCUGGAGGAAUACCGGUGGCGAAGGCGGCAUCCUGGACCGGCAUUGACGCUGAUGUGCGAAAGCUAGGGGAGCAAACGGG